UACGUAGGGUGCAAGCGUUGUCCGGAAUUAUUGGGCGUAAAGAGCUCGUAGGCGGUUUGUCGCGUCGGCCGUGAAAUCUCCACGCUUAACGUGGAGCGUGCGGUCGAUACGGGCAGACUUGAGUUCGGUAGGGGAGACUGGAAUUCCUGGUGUAGCGGUGAAAUGCGCAGAUAUCAGGAGGAACACCGGUGGCGAAGGCGGGUCUCUGGGCCGAUAACUGACGCUGAGGAGCGAAAGCGUGGGGAGCAAACAGG
rnacentral:rRNA from 1 species